rnacentral:rRNA from 1 species
UGGGGAAUAUUGGACAAUGUGCGCAAGCCUGAUCCGGCCAUGCCGCGUGAGUGAUGAAGGCCCUUGGGUUGUAAAGCUCUUUCACCGGUGAAGAUAAUGACGGUAACCGGAGAAGAAGCCCCGGCUAACUUCGUGCCAGCAGCCGCGGUAAUACGAAGGGGGCUAGCGUUGUUCGGAUUUACUGGGCGUAAAGCGCACGUAGGCGGACUUUUAAGUCAGGGGUGAAAUCCCGGGGCUCAACCCCGGAACUGCCUUUGAUACUGGAAGUCUUGAGUAUGGUAGAGGUGAGUGGAAUUCCGGGUGUAGAGGUGAAAUUCGUAGAUAUUCGGAGGAACACCAGUGGCGAAGGCGGCUCACUGGACCAUUACUGACGCUGAGGUGCGAAAGCGUGGGGAGCAAACAGG